AGAAACUUAGGAUCGAUCCAAACCAAAGGCCUUCAAAGCCUUAAACAAGAGUUAAACCCUCUUAGUUUCUG
rnacentral:tRNA from 1 species